GACUCUUAGCGAUGGGUCACUGGGCUCGUGUGUGAAUGAAGAAUGCAGCCAGCUGCAAGAAUUAAUGUGAAUUGCAGGACACAUUCAUCAUUGACACUUUGAACGCACUUGUGGCCCUGGGUUCUUACCAGGGCUAUGCCUGUCUGAGCAUUG
rnacentral:rRNA from 1 species